rnacentral:rRNA from 1 species
GACGAACGCUGGCGGCGUGCUUAACACAUGCAAGUCGAACGGAAAGGCCCUGCUUGUGUGGUAUUCUCGAGUGGCGCACGGGUGAGUAACACGUGAGUCACCUGCCCUUGACUUUGGUAUCACUUCAGAAAACUGGCGCUAAUACCGGAUAGGAUCCCCUUCUGCAUGGUGGGGGUUGGAAAGUUUCGGCGGUUGGGGAUGGACUCGCGGCUUAUCAGCUUGUUGGUGGGGUAGUGGCUUACCAAGGCUUUGACGGAUAGCCGGCCUGAGGGGGGGACCGGCCACAUUGGGACUGAGAUACGGCCAGGACUCCUCCGGGAGGAAGCAGUGGGGAAUAUUGCACAAGGGGCGGAAGCCUGAUGCAGCAACGCCGCGGGCGGGAUGACGGCCUUCGGGUUGUAAACCGCUUUCGCCUGUGACGAAGCGUGAGUGACGGUAAUGGGUAAAGAAGCACCGGCUAACUACGUG